rnacentral:lncRNA from 1 species
UUCCCCUUCCUUUUCUUCCUUCCGCCUCUUCUCCACCAUGUCAUAUAAGAACCCUAAUUUUUCAUAGCCUGCCGCCACUCAGCUUUACUAUCGAGAAUCUCCUAAUUAUGUAUCAUUUAACCUAUAAAAUCGAAAUUAGCAGGAGAGGCAGUCCCCAAAAUGGUGUUACAGUUGAUUUCAAUUUCAAAUCCGUUAUUAAUGGCUUAAAAAGAGUCGAGAUUUGGAUAUCUUUUUCUUUGAAUCUAUUUUUGUCCUCUCUCCUUCCCAUUUUUUAUUGCAAACUUUCAAAUCCGAAGUUUGGAUUUGGCACCUAUAAAUAUGGGUAUUAUUCACCCAUUGAUGGAGAGGUUUUGAAAGACGAAAGAAGAAGGUUUUGAAAGACUAAAAAAAGGGUUCAGGAUUGAGAAGAAAGCAAAAAAAAAGGGUUAAAAAUCUUGAGAAAUUUUAGAUCUGUAAGAAGAGUUUGAAAAACAAACAAAAAAAAAGGAAAAAGGAGAGGUUCGCGAGGGAAAACCAGUGAAGGAGGUUUCAAAAACCAAAGGUUUCUCCUUUAGUUCCUGAUACGAAUUUAGAGUUUCGGGGUUGAGUUUGUCAUUAGAAGUUUGUCGUUGAGGCUCCGGUUUUGUUGCCCCGCAAAAGGUGCGAACCCACUUUUUUUUGUUUUAUUUUUGCCUUUUUUUCACACAUUCACUCUAAUUCUAUGAAUAUGGGAUUAACACUGAUCUUGAAGUAUUGUUGUUGUUGCUGUGUGUGUGUUUCUGCGAACAAGAAUUUGGUCCUAUUUUUGAGAUUAUAUUUGCAUGCAGGCAUGAUUUGGUUUCAAUUUUAGUUGAGUAUUGUCGUCCAUUUUGCGUAAAAUAGAGCCCAAUACAUGACCUUAUUUUAAGUUUUCAUGGCUUCCUACUUUAUGUGAAUAUGGUCUGGGGUCGUUUAUGGGGUAUUAUCGAAUGAAAAAGAAGCAGUGUUAGCAUUAAAAUUAAACUUCUUCAUUAUGAAAUGAAAAUAGCUUUUUCAUUACUUUAUUUCGCUUUGAUAUUGUCGUGUACUUUUCUUAGUUCUUUUAUUUGGGGGGUUUUGUUUCUGACUCGUUUUGUUGUUGGAUCAUUGUUGCAAUUAUCGCUAUCGAUAUUGGGGCUCAGAUCUCACAUUUUAAUCCUAAAUGGCUUAACAGAUUUGUUUGAUUUUUUUUUUAGCUGUAAGUGAUGAUUGAGUUGUUCAUGACGUGGACUUAUAGCUUUAAAAUUAAUUGAAUCACCUCACUUUUCGGACUCAUUAAUACAAGACUUAUGUGUUCUCAUAUCUAUUCUACAUAUAAAUGUUAGAUCAUGUAUAUUUCUGAGCCAAUUUUUUUCAUUAAUGAGUUUAUUUGAGUUUAACUUUCAGGAUCAUUAAUUAAACUUUAGCUUGAGUUACUUUACAUUAUCAUGUUCCCAUUUUUGAAAAAUUUCAGCUUGCUAAAAUAUUGCACUAAUUGUAAACUCCAUUUGGGUAACAAUUUAUCAAGUACAUGUUUAGUGCAUUUACAUCCCGCCUAAUCGCCAUGUUGGGAGUGUGAAUUACUUGAUCACAUAUUGCAUAUUAUUUUCUAUUACAUAUCUGUUUCUCAAGUCUAAUUACUAAUCCUUAUCUUUUUUUUUCUUACAUGGAACACCCGAGAGUUGGAGUUCUGCAAUGGAACUUGUUUCGACCCAACAUUGGGUCAAACGCUACUAGGAGUGCAGAGCCUCGGAGUCCCACAGAUUAGGAGCCUAAAUUCCCCAAAUGGGAUUUUUAUAUUCCUUUUCCUCUUUAGAUUUAAUUUACAUUCGGCAUAUUGAUUCUUUCGUUACAACUAACUCUCAUUGUCAAUUUUGCUUAAGGUAGUUUUAUUUGAUUGUUUGAAUUAUUUUGCUAUACUAGUUGUUG